GGCGGCUACUGCUAUCAGGUUUCGACUAAGCCAUGCGAGUCAAGGGGUCGUAAGACACCGGCGUACUGCUCAGUAACACGCGGACAAUCUACCCCCAGGUGGGGGAUAACCUCGGGAAACUGAGGCUAAUACCCCAUAGUUGCCAUGUGCUGGAAUGCUUUGACGAUGAAAGAAUUUCGCCUGAGGAUGAGUCUGCGGCCUAUCAGGUAGUAUGUGGUGUAAAGGACCACAUAGCCUAAGACGGGUACGGGCCUUGAAAGAGGGAGCCCGGAGAUGGACUCUGAGACACUAGUCCAGGCCCUACGGGGCGCAGCAGGCGCGAAAACUGUGCAAUGCGCGCAAGCGCGACACGGGAAGCCUGAGUGCCUUAACUAUGUUAAGGCUUUUCUUGAUCCUAAAAAGCUCAAGGAAUAAGAGCUGGGUAAGACGGGUGCCAGCCGCCGCGGUAACACCCGCGGCUCGAGUGGUAGUCACUUUUAUUGAGCCUAAAGCGUUUGUGGCCGGAUUUGUAAAUUUCUAGGAAAAUACUUCUGCUUAACUGAAGAAAUUUUGGAGAGACUGCAAAUCUAGGGACCGGGUGAGGUUGAAUGUACUUCUGGGGUAGGGGUAAAAUCCUGUAAUCCUGGAAGGACGACCGGUGGCGAAGGCGUUCAACUAGAACGGAUCCGACGGUGAGGAACGAAGGCUAGGGGAGCAAACCGGAUUAGAUACCCGGGUAGUCCUAGCUGUAAACACUGCCCACUUGGUGUUGCAUCUCCGGUAAGGGGGUGCAGUGCCGUAGCGAAGGUGUUAAGUGGGCCGCUUGGGGAGUAUGGUCGCAAGGCUGAAACUUAAAGGAAUUGGCGGGGGAGCACCGCAACGGGAGGAGCGUGCGGUUUAAUUGGAUUCAACGCCGGAAAACUCACCGGAGGCGACCUGUGUAUGAGAGUCAACCUGAUGAAUUUACUCGAUAGCAGGAGAGGUGGUGCAUGGCCGUCGUCAGCUCGUACCGUAGGGCGUUCACUUAAGUGUGAUAACGAGCGAGACCCCCAUCUUCAAUUGCUAAGCUAACCGUGAGGUUGGUAGAACUUUGAAGGGACCGCCAGUGCAGAACUGGAGGAAGGAGUGG
rnacentral:rRNA from 1 species